rnacentral:rRNA from 1 species
UACGUAGGGGGCAAGCGUUGUCCGGAUUUAUUGGGCGUAAAGAGCUCGUAGGUGGUUCGGUAAGUCGGAUGUGAAAUCUCCAGGCUCAACCUGGAGGGGUCAUUCGAUACUGCCGUGACUAGAGGUCGGUAGGGGAGUGUGGAAUUCCUGGUGGAGCGGUGAAAUGCGCAGAUAUCAGGAGGAACACCCGUAGCGAAGGCGGCACUCUGGGCCGAUACUGACACUGAGGGAGCGAAAGCGUGGGGAGCGAACAGG